rnacentral:lncRNA from 9 species
AGACUGCAGGGAGGAUCCACCCAGAAGGGCUGGUAAACCCAGCUGGGAGGAAGAGGGAAGAAGACUUAGAAAGAGAAGGGAGGCAGCAGGAGCCGUGAUCUACAACAGAUCUAAUCCUGAAGAGGAAGAAAAUAAAGCCGACGAGGGUGUGGGUGUAACAAGUGGCUGUAGCUGGUCGGAUUCUUUAACCACUGCGCCACGACAGGAACUCCAGCAUUUUCUUUUGUAAUUGAAACACUCCCCAACACCACUUCCCUGCAAGCAAUCUUCAUUCCAGAGAGAAGGUCAAGGAAUGAUAACCCCAAAGACAACCAGAAACCAUCACUGGACCCACUGAAGCUGGAUUUGAUGACUUUGAAGUGAUCUGUGGAUGGAGAAUAAUAUAGACACCUAAUCAAUAACCUGUCUUCUGAGCUAAACCUAUAAAACCCCUCGCUGUCCCCUCUCAAGUCAGGACAGAGUUUGGAGGCAUUAGCCUGCUGUGUCCUCCUUUGCCUGGCAAAGCAAGAAAGCUGUUCUUUCUCUUCUCCAAAAUUCUUUGUCUCUGAGACUUAAUUGGUGUUGGUGUACAGAGGCCACAUUUUCAGCCACAAAUGUGGGGGCUCGUCCAGGAUCUGACUCAGGGGUGGGCAGCCCUCCCCAAGGGCUCUGCCCUGUCAUACCCGGACUGACAUCCUGCCAGUGGGAACUCCGGUGUGGGGAUAGAAAGUGGAAGAGAGACUGCCCUAGCAGCUGCCAAAGGCCACCUUCACCUUCCUCCCACCCACGCCAGGAAUUAAUUUUGGGGAAGGAGAAAGGUUACGUUUGGAACAUUGUGACACCUUGGCCAGCAUCUGGGUAAGCCCCCAGGGUGCACUCUGAGGCCCCUUGACUGGCCUCCGUCUGGGGCACUCUUGGUUCCCAUCUGGGGGUUCUUUGCUCAUUUGUUUCUGAAAUCCCAUCUGAUUUGUAAGGCGUCUUUUGGACCGAGAUCAUGGGCUUAGUGGGAUUUGGAAGCCAAUCUGAGCUUUGUGCUGUCUGAUUCUGUUUUUCCAGAUUGAGGCUUCUGUUGGCUGGCGAGGAUUCUGGUUUUCUUUCAGUGCCACAUAGCUGUUAAUUUCGAUCAAACAUGGGAAGCGCUUCCUCUUCAAUUUCAUCUCAUAGUCCCUUGUGAAAAAUUCUGGCAAAUUGUUCAACCUAUAGUUAUACAUCUAUGAGUAAGGAAAAAUUAAGUUUAAACUGUGUGGCCACAACAUUCUUUAGACACCAGAGAAAACUGGUGGAGAUAAAACUCUUCUGAAAUUCCGAAACUUGUUCUUUUUACAUACAGAAUUAAACCUGGCUUGAUGAAAAUUUUUUUCACAGUUCUCACCUUGAGAAAAGAAACACAUGGCUACGGGAAAGCCUGUGGUUAACUCUUAUUACAUCCUUAGUGUAAAAAUAUAGCCUACUUUGUCUGAGACUUCAGCUUUGAGAUAAUUAGUAGAAUGUCCAACCAGAAAGGGGGGACAAAAAGGAGAGGGAAGUCCUUUAAAUUCAAGUAAGUAAAUUUAACUAUUCUAAUUGUUAUGUUUUGUUUUACAUUUGCAAGGUGAAUUGUUAUGCAGGUGCAGUCAUGAUUCCCUAUCUAUACCAUUUACAGGUUGUUUAUUGUUAAAAGGUGGAAUUUUUAUUAUUAAAAAAAAAAGUUAAGAAAGGGGAGUUCCUGUCUUGGCUCAGCAGAAACAAAUCUGACUAGCAUCCAUGAGGACGAAGGUUCAAUCCCUGGCCUUGCUCAGGGGGUUAAAGAUCCGGUGUUGCCAGGAGCUGUGGUGUAGGUCGCCCACAGACAAGGCUCAGAUCCUGCAGUGCUUGGCUGUGGUGUAGGCCAGUGGCUGCAGCUCCCAUUUGAUCCCUAGCCUGGGAUCCUCCACAUAGGGCAGGUACGGCCCUAAAAA